ensembl:lncRNA
UCUCCCUAUGGGGUCAGGCUCCUUAUAGGGUCAGAGCGCUUAUAGGGUCAGCCCAUUUAUAGGGGUUUUUCUGCCCUAUAGUGGCUGCAGUCGGGGAUGUCCUUAUAGGGCUGGGCUGUUAAUAGGGUCAGGCUGCUUAUAGGGCCGGUCUCCCUAUGGGGUCAGGCUCCUUAUAGGGUCAGAGCUCUUAUAGGGUCAGGCCAAUUAAUGGGGUUUUUCCGCCCUAUAGUGGCUGCAGUCGGGGAUGUCCUUAUAGGGCUGGGUUCCUUAUGGGGUCACAGUCCUUAUAGGGUCGGUCUUCCUAUACAUUCAGGCUCCUUAUAGGGUCAGAGUGCUUAUAGGGUCAGGCCAAUUAAUGGGGUUUUUCCGCCCUAUAGUGGCUGCAGUCGGAGAUGUCCUUAUAGGGCUGGGUUCCUUAUAGGGUCACAGUCCUUAUAGGGUCGGUCUCCUUAUAGGCUGAGGCUCCUUAUAGGGUCAGAGCUCUUAUAGGGUCAGGCCAAUUAAUGGGGUUUUUCCGCCCUAUAGUGGCUGCAGUCGGGGAUGUCCUUAUAGGGUCAGCCUUCUUAUACCCUCAGUUUCCUUAUAGGGUCGGUCUCCCUAUGGGGUCAGGCUCCUUAUAGGGUCAGAGCUCUUAUAGGGUCAGGCCAAUUAAUAGGGUUUUUCCGCCCUAUAGUGGCUGCAGUCGGGGAUGUCCUUAUAGGGCCGAACUCCUUAUAGG